AUUUUUAGAUGCGGUCGAAUAAUUACGUCGAUCAUGUGAACAGACACAGUAGACGUGAUUAUUAUCAUGACAGCCGAAUAUCCAGACAGCAUUCUAAUAUGCGAUCGAAUGAUCGUUUCUCUCGUGUGAAUAAAGAAAAUAUCAAACAAGAAAGACAUCAUGCUAAGGACAAAAGAGAUAAAAGUGUAAAACAAAAAUUACUGAGAUC